GGGUAUAGCUCAGUGGUAGAGUGCAUGCCUAGCAUGCACGAGGUCUUGGGUUCAAUCCCCGGUACCUCCA
rnacentral:tRNA from 1 species